AGGGGUGGGGCUAGGGAGGGGAGGGAGCUGACUCCUGACCUCCUCCCCCAGAAUGUGACCUUGGCCAUGGCCGUGUUCACCAUCCUAGCCUCCAUCUACUUCUUCAACAAGGCUCAGCAGUAAGAAGGCAUGACGCCCCAGUCCACCAGCUUGGCUCCCGCCUGCUCUGCCAUUGUGCUGGCCUCUGAGAUCCAAUAAAUGUAACAGCACCA
ensembl:processed_transcript uncharacterized LOC110298269